CCCUUAGAUGUUCUGGGCCGCACGCGCGCUACAAUGAUGAAUUCAACGAGUUUAUAAUCUUGGUUGAAAAGCCUGGGUAAUCUUUUGAACUUUCGUCGUGAUGGGGCUAGACCCUUGCAAUUAUUGGUCUCCAACGAGGAAUUCCUAGUAAACGCAAGUCAUCAGCUUGCAUUGAUUACGUCCCUGCCCUUUGUACACACCGCCCGUCGCACCUACCGAUUGAAUGGUCCGGUGAAAUCUUCGGAUUGAGACUUUGAUUUCUUCACGGAAAACGCUGUUUUAAAAAGUUGAUUAAACCUUACCAUUUAGAGGAAGGUGAAGUCGUAACA
rnacentral:rRNA from 1 species